rnacentral:rRNA from 1 species
UACGUAGGGUGCGAGCGUUGUCCGGAAUUAUUGGGCGUAAAGGGCUCGUAGGCGGUUUGUCGCGUCGGGAGUGAAAUCCACUGGCUUAACUGGUGGCUUGCUUUCGAUACGGGCAGACUGGAGGUAUGCAGGGGAGAACGGAAUUCCUGGUGUAGCGGUGAAAUGCGCAGAUAUCAGGAGGAACACCGGUGGCGAAGGCGGGUCUCUGG